AAUUUGCACAUAUCAGAAAUUAAAUCCUAUAGGUGUGAUUUCUACCCUUUUGUGCACGAAAAGUAACCUCCUCCCUUGUUUCACUAAAUCCCCAUGAGUUUAUACAAAUUAUUACAGACCACUAAAAAUAAGACAGAAAUGAAAAUACAUCAGAAAUUAUCUGCUACAUACGAGAGCCUAAUUCAGACUUAUUGUCUAACAAUAUGAGAUUGAAUCAGUUCCUAUAUCAAGAUUUCCAAAACCUUCUCUUAUCUAGGGUGUUUUAGAGAUCCAUGGAGUUUCAGGAACUCCAGGUAGUGCUUACACCCAAGAUGUUAAUUAGAAAGAGUUAUAGUGCAGUGUGGAAGGGCUAACCCUCAGGUGUCCAUGUUUAGAGGGCGCUCAUGCAUCCAAAGGCAAGGCUCACAAGAGAGGGGCAGGACUUAAGUUCUAAGAGUUUGUGCCAGUGCAAUAGAGAGGGUUUAGGCAGUUCCAAGGCAGGUUGGUGGUCAUACCUAGUCACAAAGUAAACUGGCACACCCCUGACCAAGACUAUGGUCUAGACAAUGAUCAUGACAUUGUUAGACCAACGUUCCAUACUCAGCAUACAUGACAGGGGAAAGGGGAUGGUAAUUUAAUAAAGUUUGGGACUCAGGAGUCCAGUCCAUAUACAUGAGUAACAAUGUCAAGUGUUGUCAUGUUUUCUGAACCUUAACCCAACAUACAAAGGGACUAGGGAUAGAGAUUCAUGUAAGAAUAGAGGUAAGGCGAUAAGUAAACUUGCAGAAAAUUAAAACAUAGAAGCAGUAAGACAAAUGAAGGAAAGGCUGAAGAAUAAACAUGUGGUGAAGAGGCAAAAUUUAAAACAAGAGAGACAUACCAGUUGCAAAAAAAGUAAGCAAAGAAACAACAGUAUUCUUUCAGCCAAACCACAAUCAGAGAAGAAAGCUUUAAGCUUGUGAGUUCGGAGAACUCGAACGCUUAUGAAAUUCUAAGUGUAUUUGAGGGAAGUAGCGACUUGUUCUGUUAGAACUUGUUUAUGAAAGGGAAGGGGUACAGGUAUUUAUAAUUUUGAAAAUAGUAGAAAAUAAGGCAACAAUAAGGUUUCACUGCAAACAGCAAAUAAUCGGAGUCAAAAUCAAUUAACAUGGGUAUUUUCCCUUUAAUCAAAGGAUUACUGCUCAAAUGGACACUAACAGCAUUAAUACAAGGACAGAAGAUCGAUUUGAAAACAGAAUGAUUGUUACCAUAAAAGUAGCGGUAAAACCAUAUACUAAGGGAUUAAGUCUAAAUACAGGAAUGUACUUAUUUUUGGAAAGGAUCUUGUCAGGCCAAACAAAGAGAGAGAAUCAAUUAACCCUUAACGGCCGAGUAAGAAUCAGAAUUUCACAAGGAUAUGUUUUUAAAAUCAAUUACGAGUUUGAAAAUCAAUCACAGAAGGGACUCAGUAUAUAAAUGAAGUACACCAGUAAUAGACAUGUGAGGCCAAGCUAUGGCAAGAUGAAACAACAUAUAGUUAUAGCAUAGAAUUAGUAAAAGGUAAGCAUUCAUAGCAUGAUAGUCACAUAGGUCAAGUUUCAUUGGCUUAGUAAUAGAGAAAGGGAUCAAAAGUAUGCAAAACUUAAGUGAAAAGUUUCUAAUAACAUAGUCUAGUUUAACAGAUAUCAACAACUCAGAACAAAAGGAAUCACAUAAAGAAGAUGAGAUGGUGAAGUAAAAGAAUCAGGCAGAGCAAUUUCAAAUAAGCGAGUUGCACAAACAAACUCAAGAACUCAAAUAGACCCCAAAAGAACUAGGGUUUUCAAAAUCAGUAGAGUUUAGAGGAGAUAAACAAUUGAAACAAAUAAAGAGUCUCAGUAUCUCAAAUAAACCCCAAAAAUUAGGGUUUUCAACAUUAAUCUGGUGUAAACAAAGUAAAUCAAACAGAUAGACUCAGAAACUCAAAAAAAUUUAAAAAAAUUAGGUUUUCAACAACAAUCAAACCUAGAGAUGAUAAGAAAAUGAAUUGAACAAAAUAUUACCAAACAGACUCAGAAACCCUAGUCUAAAAUCAAAAGAUUUUUUAAAAGUAAAUUUGGGGAAAACGCUUAAAACAUCACGUAUAGCACAGAUCAAGCAGUAAUCCAAACAAAUAAACAAAAAAGAACCUCGAAUAGGCUAGGGUUCCUGAGAACCCUAGAAAUGAGAAAGGCUUGGAAGAAACAACACCAGAUCUGUAGUUGAUAAGGUCGAAAUCAGGCUCAGGAGGCUAAGAUACGCCGGAGCAAGGCCGGAGAUGGCUGAAAACCUCGAAUCGACGAAGUUCUGAGUGAAGAUUCUUGAAGUCUGGCGUCGAAACUUCAGGUAUUAAGCACGUGAGAGUAGUAGGGGUGAGUAUAGGUCGUCCAUAGCUUGAACGCCCAUGGAUUCCAGCAGGUUUGGGGUUGAAAGCGACAAAAAACGAUUAGGGUUUCGAGAGAGUUUGAGAGCAUUGUAGAGAAGAGAGGAGUUAGAGGCGGC
rnacentral:lncRNA from 1 species